GCUAUGAUCCUUUCCCUCAGUAGGUAGAGCGUGAGACUCUUAAUCACAGGGUUGUGGGUUCAAGCCCCAUGUUGGGCA